rnacentral:rRNA from 1 species
ACAUGCAGGGAACUUUCCAGAGAUGGAUUGGUGCCUUCGGGAACUCUGACACAGGUGCUGCAUGGCUGUCGUCAGCUCGCGUCGUGAGAUGUUGGGUUAAGUCCGUAACGAGCGCAACCCUUGUCCUUAGUUACCAGCACGUUAUGGUGGGCACUCUAAGGAGACUGCCGGGACAAACCGGAGGAAGGUGGGGAUGACGUCAAGUCAUCAUGGCCCUUACGGCCUGGGCUACACACGUGCUACAAUGGUCGGUACAAAGGGUUGCCAAGCCGCGAGGUGGAGCUAAUCCCAUAAAACCGAUCGUAGUCCGGAUCGCAGUCUGCAACUCGACUGCGUGAAGUCGGAAUCGCUAGUAAUCGUGAAUCAGAAUGUCACGGUGAAUACGUUCCCGGGCCUU